rnacentral:rRNA from 1 species
GACGAACGCUGGCGGCGUGCUUAACACAUGCAAGUCGAACGGAAAGGCCCUGCUUUUGUGGGGUGCUCGAGUGGCGAACGGGUGAGUAACACGUGAGUAACCUGCCCUUGACUUUGGGAUAACUUCAGGAAACUGGGGCUAAUACCGGAUAGGAGCUCCUGCUGCAUGGUGUGGGUUGGAAAGUUUCGGCGGUUGGGGAUGGACUCGCGGCUUAUCAGCUUGUUGGUGGGGUAGUGGCUUACCAAGGCUUUGACGGGUAGCCGGCCUAAGAGGGUGACCGGCCACAUUGGGACUGAGAUACGGCCCAGACUCCUACGGGAGGCAGCAGUGGGGAAUAUUGCACAAUGGGCGGAAGCCUGAUGCAGCAACGCCGCGUGCGGGAUGACGGCCUUCGGGUUGUAAACCGCUUUCGCCUGUGACGAAGCGUGAGUGACGGUAAUGGGUAAAGAAGCACCGGCUAACUACGUG